UUAAUAAUAUUCUUAAUAAAAAUAUAAUUAUUUUAAUAUUUGGUCCUUUCGUACUAAAAUAUUAUAAUUUUUUAAAGAUAGAAACCAACCUGGCUUACGCCGGUUUGAACUCAGAUCAUGUAAGAAUUUAAAAGUCGAACAGACUUAAAAUUUGAACGGCUACACCCAAAAUUAUAUCUUAAUCCAACAUCGAGGUCGCAAUCUUUUUUAUCGAUAUGAACUCUCCAAAAAAAUUACGCUGUUAUCCCUAAAGUAACUUAAAUUUUUAAUCAUUAUUAAUGGAUCAAUUAUUCAUAAAUCAAUGGCUUUAAAAAUUAAAAGUUUUUUAAAUUUUAAUAUCACCCCAAUAAAAUAUUUUAAUUUAUUAUAAUAAAAAUAAUCUUUACAAUUAAAAUAAAUAAAAUAUAAAGAUUUAUAGGGUCUUCUCGUCUUUUAAAUUUAUUUUAGCUUUUUGACUAAAAAAUAAAAUUCUAUAAAAAAUUCAAAUGAAAC
rnacentral:rRNA from 1 species